rnacentral:rRNA from 1 species
CCUACGGGAGGCAGCAGUGGGGAAUAUUGGACAAUGGGCGCAAGCCUGAUCCAGCCAUGCCGCGUGAGUGAUGAAGGUCUUCGGAUCGUAAAGCACUGUGGGGGGAGAAGAACAAAGCUGGUGAAGAGCCAGCCCUGACGGUAUCCCCUUAGCAAGCACCGGCUAACUCUGUGCCAGCAGCCGCGGUAAU